rnacentral:lncRNA from 1 species
AAGGGAGUGGAAGUGGCCCCAUCGGACCAGGAGGAGACUUCCAGUGUCUGAUCCCUGGGAGCUGCCAUCAGCCGGUGUUUUUGCGGGUCUCAUCAUACAUGCAAGAAUGUGACGGUGCUCAAGGAGAGAGCAAACCAACGUGCAGUAGCGCUGGCCAGAGGCUGCCUGUGUCGUCGAUAGCUUUGUCGGUGGAGUUCAGCAAAGGCUGAUGCAUACCCAUGAAAGGCAGAACGUGCUGUCUGUGGACGCCCUUGAUGUCUUUCCUCCUGUUUGGCAAACACUCUAGGUUUUUAUCCAGCUUUGUGAUCCCUUUAGAGGCUUUCACAGAUCAGUCCAAAGUAAGGAAGAACCACGAAAAUGAGAGAGAAACAGACAACACAGAGGUAAAAGCAGAACAAGGGUACCAGGGUGUAUUCUUUCACUCAAGGUCUUUUGGACCCAUUUGGGGUCAUCUUGACAAAGAAGCUUGGUUUCUACAGCUGUGGAUGUUAUUUUCAGGAGACUUUCCUCUGCAAAAUGCUUUGCCAUAACUGAAGCAGCAAAGAUUGGCAUGUCUGGGCGGUCAUUGCUGCUGAGAGUAACUUCAUGUAAUGGGUGGAAAGUAAAGUAAAACUUGAAGAAUAACUAUGGAAAAAAAAUUUAGAGGUUAUAGUCAAGUCUCAGGGCACAUUGCAAAUUGUUGCUUUAGCAGACGGCUGUUUUGUUAGUAUCUGUCUUAGGCCUUCAGUGCCCCAGCAAUGAAGAGCUAUUCUCAGAAGGAAUCACCUUAGAGGCAGUUUGUGAUCUACAGAGCCUGACAUUUAGAUUAUAUUUCUGGUGGACUUCCAUGGGCACCCAGGGAAUGGUAGCCGUUGGGAGCAGGGAGGUGGUCUGAAGAGGAUGUAAGACAUACCUUAUUUUUUAUGCUUUUUUUUCGUCCCAUCUCGCUAAGGAGUUAUAACAGGUUGUGUAUUGGAGGAUGAAUGGUGAAGAUGGGGUGUGCUGUACAGAAGUGAGCCAUGUCCCUGGCUGAGCUGAAGGCUGUCUGCUUUUGAGGGCAGCUGCCAGAAUGCGUCUGCAGCAACUUUUGGUCCACCAGCUGCGGAAGGCCCUGGUGCAGAGGGCACAUCCAGAGCCCCUGAUGCCUUCUGGUGCAGCCAGACUUUUAUGUUCCUUGUUGAGAAGCUUCCUAGGGGGGCAGGAGAGGGGUCUGCCUUGCUGUGUGGAGAGAAGCACAAAUAAAAGCCAUCAGAAAAAGGAAUGGAGAGUUAUUUUUCAGGUUGAGUCCACACUAGCCAACAACUUUGUCUCCUCUUAAAAACCAAAAUCUCACUGGAGUCAGUCCUCUGGCAGCAGAGAGCCUGCUUUAGGGAGGCUUUCUUUCUGGUUGCCUCAGCAAAACAAAUAUACUCAGGGUAUAUCUCACUCUGUGGGCCAGGUAACAAGCAAAUAAAACCAAUCAGCCCAUCUCCAGGUGGUUUUUGAUGCCUUUUGGUAGUAGCCUACCUGCCAGGAGCAUCGCUGCAGCCCUGCUGAGAGCCGGAGUGCUGACAGAGUGGUGCAGGCGCAGCUCUGCACUAACAGUGGUGUGUGUCUGCCUGUCCUCUGGGCAGUGUGACGGCUUGAAAUAAUGUAGUAAUUCAGUCUGGCGGGGUGCCGAGGACUGUCAUCUCGCCUGAGGCUUCAGGAGGUCUUAGUUCUGAUCCUAACAGAGCACCUUGGAAACGUGAGUGUUUGGAGGGCAAGCCAACUGCCCUUGAAAUGGGUGGCAAAGCCAGCACCUAUUUUAGAGGACGCAUGUG